AUUGAACGCUGGCGGCAGGCCUAACACAUGCAAGUCGAACGGUAACAGGAAACGGCUUGCUGCUUUGCUGACGCGUGGCGGACGGGUGAGUAAUGUCUGGGAAACUGCACGAUGGAGGGGGAUAACUACUGGAAACGGUAGCUAAUACCGCAUAACGUCGCAAGACCAAAGAGGGGGACCUUAGGGCCUCUUGCCAUCGGAUGUGCCCAGAUGGGAUUAGCUAGUAGGUGGGGUAACGGCUCACCUAGGCGACGAUCCCUAGCUGGUCUGAGAGGAUGACCAGCCACACUGGAACUGAGACACGGUCCAGACUCCUACGGGAGGCAGCAGUGGGGAAUAUUGGACAAUGGGCGCAAGCCUGAUGCAGCCAUGCCGCGUGUAUGAAGAAGGCCUUCGGGUUGUAAAGUACUUUCAGCGGGGAGGAAGGGAGGAAAGUUAAUACCCUUGCUCAUUGACGGUACCCGAAGAAGAAGCACCGGCUAACUCCGUG
rnacentral:rRNA from 1 species